UGUUUUUGGAGGCUUUUGCAAAUUUGCUAUGGUUAUUUAUGAACUUGCUUGGGUUGGCGUCAAAUAGCAUGCUCACUUAUUUUAGUUUUUGCCCAACAUGCUUAAAAUCAUGUAAUAAAGCUAUGUAUUCUCUUUUGCGGCCUUCUUGAUGAGCACUAAACCUCAUGCGAAAAAGCUCCAUUUUUUUAAAGGCAAAAGAAGAGAUAAAAAUGUGCAAAGCAACCAUCAACACUUCCAUGAAGAAGCACAAAGCAUUAUUCGAUAAGGAAAAAGAAGAGUGUGGCAUCAGAGAAAAAUUCAAUCUCCUCGCAUCCCCCCUAAGCACCCAAGAAUUAUUAUGCAUUGAAUAUUAGAAACAACUGUUACAAAUCGCUAAGAGAUGAUAAUGCUGUUGGGCUUACAUACCAUUCGCAAUUCUGUUGAGCCGCAACAAAAUGCUGGCCCGGCUCUAGUUAUGUAUAAAAGCUGGAAGGUGUAUGUCACUCCAAUUAAAGGCCAAAAAUUCACAACUUAUAGGUUCUUGCUGAGAUUAG
rnacentral:misc_RNA from 1 species